UACGGGGGGAGGGACGUAGUCGGUAAUUCGAAUUGGUGGCGUAAAGGGCGCGUAGGCGGCUUGAUAAGUCAAAGGUGAAAUCCCUCGGCUCAACUGAGGAACUGCCUUUGAAACUGUCAGACUUGAGGCCGGGAGGGGGUAGCGGAAUUCCCAGUGUAGCGGUGAAAUGCGUAGAUAUUGGGAGGAACACCGGUGGCGAAGGCGGCUACCUGGACGGUUUCUGACACUAAGACUCGAAAAGCGUGGGGAGCAAACAGG
rnacentral:rRNA from 1 species